GAGUGUGUAGCUCAGUGGUUAAAUCAUUUUAGAGCGUUUGACUGCAGAUCAACUGUUGAUUACAUGGUCGAGAGUUCGAAAAAAAGAAAUCUCUUCACACUCU
rnacentral:tRNA from 1 species